rnacentral:SRP_RNA from 1 species
GUCUGGGCCCUGCGCGGCGGGAACCUCCGAACCGUGUCAGGACCGGAAGGUAGCAGCACUCAGGAGUGUCUCCCGGGUGCCGCAGGUCUCCCAGGCUGA